CCCUUAGAUGUUCUGGGCUGCACGCGUGUUACAAUCGGGAGUACAACAAGAUUGCAAAUCCUAGUGGAUGAGUGGUUCUUCGAAAUUUUCUGAAGACUGGGAUAGUUGAUUGAAAUUAUUCAACUCGAACGAGGAAUUCCUUGUAAUUGUAAUUCAUUAUAUUGUAAUGAAUACGUCCCUGCCCUUUGUACACACCGCCCGUCGCUCCUGCCGAUUGAACGAUCCGGUGAAUUAUUUGGAGUAGCUCUGGAAGUUGCAGAACUUCCUAUGUCACGAAAUUUUGUAAACCUUAUCGUUUAGAGGAAGGAAAAGUCGUAACA
rnacentral:rRNA from 1 species